AUGCUGUGGCAGACUCAGCUCCUCUGGCUCCUCGUGCUCUGGGCGCAGGGCGACAGCGGGGACAUUGUUGUGACUCAGACUCCAGAGUCCCUGGCAGUGUCCUCAGGAGACACAGUCACCAUCAAGUGCAAAACCAGCUCCAGUGUUAGCAGCUACAUGGCCUUGUACCAGCAGAAACCAGGGCAGGCUCCUAAGCUCCCUCUCUACAGCACAAAUACCCGCCCCUCGGGGAUCCCCGACCGGUUCAGUGGCAGUGGGUCUGGCACUGACUUCACUUUCACCAUCAGCCGGGUUGAAGCUGGUGAUGCUGGAGAUUAUUACUGCCAGCAGCAUGAUAGUACCCCUCUCACAGUGCUACAACCCAAUACAAAACUCUCCCUGCUCGGUGCUGAAGAGACAAACCUCCUCCAGGAGUGGAGCCAGGUGGAGCGUGUUUUAGGGAGCCUGUGGGGAGACUGA